UGGGGAAUUUUGGACAAUGGGCGAAAGCCUGAUCCAGCAAUGCCGCGUGUGUGAAGAAGGCCUUCGGGUUGUAAAGCACUUUUGUCCGGAAAGAAAUCCUUGGCUCUAAUACAGUCGGGGGAUGACGGUACCGGAAGAAUAAGCACCGGCUAACUACGUGCCAGCAGCCGCGGUAAUACGUAGGGUGCAAGCGUUAAUCGGAAUUACUGGGCGUAAAGCGUGCGCAGGCGGUUUGCUAAGACCGAUGUGAAAUCCCCGGGCUCAACCUGGGAACUGCAUUGGUGACUGGCAGGCUAGAGUAUGGCAGAGGGGGGUAGAAUUCCACGUGUAGCAGUGAAAUGCGUAGAGAUGUGGAGGAAUACCGAUGGCGAAGGCAGCCCCCCUGGGCCAAUACUGACGCUCAUGCACGAAAGCGUGGGGAGCAAACAGGAUUAGAUACCCUGGUAGUCCACGCCCUAAACGAUGUCAACUAGUUGUUGGGGAUUCAUUUCCUUAGUAACGUAGCUAACGCGUGAAGUUGACCGCCUGGGGGAGUACGGUCGCAAGAUUAAAACUCAAAUGAAUUGACGGGGUCAUAGCUGUUU
rnacentral:rRNA from 1 species